AUGUGGCAGAUCAGAGAGGGGAAUGAAAUCCCUAGCCACACCUCAUUGCAAAUCGGGCCUAGCCACAUCUUCAUCUCUCUCCCCCUCACCACUCCUUCUCCACCUCCGGCCGCCGCCACGACCAGGCCGGCGUGGUGGUGCACCUCCACAGCCCAUCCACCCACCAGCGCCAUCCAUCACCAGCACCAACACCCAGCGCCACCAUCACCUCCUGCCGCCAGUGCCACCACCACCUCGCGCACCCUGCAAUCCAUCUCCCUGUUGCUCCUCCACCUUUCUUCUUCUCGUAACCUACUGCUGCUCUCCUUCUUCUUCCCUAGCCUCGCUGCUGCUCUUCCUUCUCCAAAUCCCCAAACUGUUGCUCCUCUUUCUUACACGCCUGCUGCUGUUCUUCUUCUCCUAUCUUGCUGCACCACUACUGUUGCUCCUUGUCUCCUGCGUCCCCUGCUGCUCCUAACUUGCUGCUACUGCUGCUCCUUCCUCCCUUACCUUGCUGCUGCACUUCUCUGA
rnacentral:rRNA from 1 species